AGGGGUAUAGCUCAGUGGUAGAGUGCAUGCUUAGCAUGCACAAGGUCCUGGGUUCAAUCCCCCAUACCUCCA
rnacentral:tRNA from 1 species